CUGCAAUGGUGUGAGGUCUGGGAACUGUUGAGCUCACAGCUCCUUGCUCUAGGUUUGGCAACAGGAAAAUUUUCUGUAAGAUUUGGAAGGCAGAAUUGAAGCAGCAUCCAUACAUUUUGCACUCUGAAGUCAGUGCAGGCCAAGCACAGUUGCAGCUGAAGCACACUGUCAGGAGCUGUGGGCUCACUUGGUUUGUGUGAGCAGAAAGCGUGUCUUGGCUCCUCACUCCUGCUGGAUCUCUUCCUUCAGCUCUUCCAAUCAUGGACCAGUUUUUGAAACUAGAAUACUCUGGAUUCUUUUAAAAGAGCACAGAAACAUGGGGCAGCUGACAGAGGCCAAUAUCCUUUGGCUAUGUUGACUUACCUGCGUCCUCAGCAAACCUUAUCAUGAGAGAGAAGGAAGCUUUGGGGGAAUGCUGAAUCAGAGGAUGUGAUCAUCUCAAAUUCAGGCACAGAUUGGUGUGGAUUUUUGAAAACAAAAUAAAUGCUAGUGGAAGGAGAACAAAUGGGAUAUACAAAAUUUCCUAAUCUUUUUUCCUACACAUUGCUUCACAAUCAUGCUUCUUCCAGACUUAAAGAUUUUUGAUGUGCUGAAGGAUGAAGAUCAGAACCUGUUAAAGUGCUCCAUCAUUUGACCAUGAGCACCUGUACAAAAGCA